rnacentral:lncRNA from 10 species
AAACAGGCUCUCACUAUGUUGCUCAGACUUGGUUUCGAACUCCUGACCUCAAUGAUCCCCCCACCUCAACUGCUGAGUAGCUGGGAUUACAGGACUGAAUAUAUAUUGGAAAACCACCACACCAAACAGGACGAUAGAGCAAAAAAAACCUACAAAAAAAAAUCCAGGGAACUAAACCACAACCUCUGCAACAAUCGAGAGCAAAAAAGGUCGGACUUGGUCAAUGACAGAAAACUUUUUUCAUGUUUCUUUCCACUUCCAACUUAGGAUCAAUCAAGAAAGCCAAAUGUGCUGCUCACACUAACGUGGUAGCUAGCUUAUCUUCAGCUUCCCCAUACCAAAAACCUCCAGCUAAAGCAUAACUGAAUCCUUCCUUCUUUAUUAACUAAUAAAGUUUUCCCAUUCUCUUGACUGCGUUUAAGUCUCUGCCAAAGACAAGUGAUGGUGGCUGCCUCCCUUGCUACAGAAAGCUCUGAAUAAGUAGCCUUGAUUUAUUCCCAUUUGCAUGGUCUUCAUUUAUUUCCAACAAUCCGAGCUCAUAUACACAUGCCAACAAACACACACAAAAAUAAAUAACUGCAAAAUACGUUUCAUAGUAAAAUACAUAUCCCCAUAAAUGUAUUAUAAGUAAUGCCUUCUGAAAUUUUCUAUUCCAUUACAUAAAAAGUAAAUGUUGGCCCCAAACCAAAAUUAUUUAAUGGCCCAUUAACCAGUACGACUUUUAUAUUGAAAAAUAGGUGUACACAUAUUUUCUAAAGCUUAUUUGACCCCGCGGCCAUCUGUUCACUGAGUAUCUCUUAAGACUUGUUUCCUUAGGACACGCUUGGGGAAGGUUAACUACAUUUUGAAUAGAGAUUACUGGAAGAAUAGAGAUGUGAUUAACAAACAAUCAGAAUAAACACUUGGUUUUUAAUGAAAGGUAUUUAGUUCAAUUUAAAUUAUAUUGAUUAAGAAAUUACAAUUCAGAGAAACAGAAAAAAAUACUAAAAUUGAGAAAGAAAAGAGUUUUAUAAAAUUCUAGUCCUUUCUGAAGCUUAUUUAAAGGUCAUUUAGUUUAACUUUCCUCUCAAUCAACAAUUUUGUUUUCCUGUUCUAGUAUCUAUUAUUAAAAUGGGACUGCUGUUUUAGGCAAAGUAAAUAUAAACAAAGAAUAAACUCCUGUCUAUUAGAAAGUGAAGGGAAAGUGUAAGGGCAAGCACAAAACGAAAAGAGGCUUAAUUUUUUAGGGUUAGGGUUAGUGUUAG